rnacentral:lncRNA from 1 species
UCCCCUGUGAAGGACUUUCUGUACAAAUUGACCAAAACAUUCGUGUAAACGUUUACCACCUAAUGGUAAACGUUUACACCACCCCUUUUCAAUGCACUUGACUCAUGAUUUCAUCCAACUACAUUUUGUUAACACAACACCAUCCUCAAUAGAAUUUGGGGUCCCCAAAAUCAACUAUCCACCCCCAAAACACAACUUAAAAAAAAAAAAAUCAAAAACCCAUGCAAAGUUUGCCAAAAAGUUGAAAUUUGACAUCUUGGUCCCCCUUGUGUACAAAAAAGUGGUCCCUUGUGAAGGACUUUCUGUACAAAUUCACCAAAACAUUCGUGUAAACGUUUACCACCUAUUGGUAAACGUUUACACCAACCUUUUUCAAUGCACUUGACUCAUGAUUUCAUCCAACUACUUUUUGUGAACACAAGACCUUCCUCAAUGGAAUUUGGGGUCCCCAAAAUCAACUAUCCACCCCCAAAACACAACUUAAAACCAAAAAAAUAAAAAACCCAUGCAAAGUUUGCCAAAAAGUUGAAAUUUGACAUCUUGGUCCCCUGUGUACAAAAAAGUGGUCCCUUGUAAAGGACUUUCUGUACAAAUUCACCAAAACAUUUGUGUAAACGUUUACCACCUAUUGGUAAACGUUUACACCACCCUUUUUCAAUGCACUUGACUCAUGAUUUCAUCCAACUAAUUUUUGUGAACACAACACCUUCCUCAAUGGAAUUUGGGGUCCCCAAAAUCAACUAUCCACCCCCAAAACACAACUUAAAACCAAAAAAAUCAAAAACCCAUGCAAAGUUUGCCAAAAAGUUGAAAUUUUACAUCUUGGUCCCCUGUGUACAAAAAAGUGGUCCCUUGUGAAGGACUUUCUGUACAAAUUGACCAAAACAUUCG